rnacentral:rRNA from 1 species
AGUGAACGCUGGCGGUAGGCCUAACACAUGCAAGUCGAACGGCAGCACAGUAAGAGCUUGCUCUUACGGGUGGCGAGUGGCGGACGGGUGAGGAAUACAUCGGAAUCUACUUUUUCGUGGGGCUAACGUAGGGAAACUUACGCUAAUACCGCAUACGACCUACGGGUGAACGCAGGGGAUCUUCGGACCUUGCGCGAUUGAAUGAGCCGAUGUCGGAUUAGCUAGUUGGCGGGGUAAAGGCCCACCAAGGCGACGAUCCGUAGCUGGUCUGAGAGGAUGAUCAGCCACACUGGAACUGAGACACGGUCCAGACUCCUACGGGAGGCAGCAGUGGGGAAUAUUGGACAAUGGGCGCAAGCCUGAUCCAGCCAUACCGCGUGGGUGAAGAAGGCCUUCGGGUUGUAAAGCCCUUUUGUUGGGAAAGAAAAGCAGCAGGUUAAUACCCCGCUGUUCUGACGGUACCCAAAGAAUAAGCACCGGCUAACUUCGUG